rnacentral:rRNA from 1 species
UACGUAGGGUGCAAGCGUUGUCCGGAAUUAUUGGGCGUAAAGAGCUCGUAGGCGGUUUGUUGCGUCGGCUGUGAAAAUCCCCGAGGCUCAACCUCGGGUCUGCGGUCGAUACGAGCAAACUAGAGUGUUGCAGGGGGAGACUGGAAUUCCUGGUGUAGCGGUGGAAUGCGCAGAUAUCAGGAGGAACACCGAUGGCGAAGGCAGAUCUCUGGGCCAUUACUGACGCUGAGGAGCGAAAGCGUGGGGAGCGAACAGG